CCCUUAGAUGUCCUGGGCUGCACGCGCGCUACACUGAUGUGUCCAGUAAGCACCUAACCUCUUCCGAAAGGAACGGGUAACCUUUGCAAAGCACAUCGUGAUGGGGAUAGAUUAUUGCAAUUAUUAGUCUUGAACGAGGAAUUCCUAGUAAGCACAAGUCAUCAGCUUGUGUUGAUUACGUCCCUGCCCUUUGUACACACCGCCCGUCGCUACUACCGAUUGGAUGGUUUAGCGAGAACUUUGGACCGGAGCUCGGGUGGUCAGCAAUGGUCGCCCGAGAUGUCUGGGAAAUCGUUCCAGCUUGAUCAUCUAGAGGAAGUAAAAGUCGUAACA
rnacentral:rRNA from 1 species